UCUCCUCUAGCUUAAUAGUGAAAGCGUUAGUUUGAAGAGCUAAAGUUACAAGUUUGUGGGGGGAG
rnacentral:tRNA from 2 species